rnacentral:sRNA from 1 species
UAUUCUACCCUACGGGGAAGGAUGAGAAGCUUCGACUAAGGUUCGACUCGAGCGCCAGCGAGAGAACGUUGCCGCAGGCAAUGGCCCGAAGGGCGAGGAGCGAUAGCGACGAGUUAUCCUUCCCCCUCUAUUC